GCACGGCAUUGAUUGAGAGUGUAAUGGUGUCGAGAGAAACAGAAGAGACGAUGUGCGGCGAUUAGGGUUUUCUUCAUAUGAGUGAUCUAGAUAGAUCCUGCAAAUCAGAGCAAGAGGAUGUUUGAAGAGAGAGUCGGGUUUGAGUCGCGGAAACUCAGGGCACUAUUCCGCACAAGAGAGUCGAUCAAGGUGAGAAGAGUAUCAGCUGUCUUGAAGCUAUUCCGGUGAAGUCAAUGGUUUCGCUCAGUCCAGAGAUUGUAGAUCGUAGCUUGCCAGGAUGUAAGAAGUAGAAUCUUGGCCUCGCGGGUGCCCCUGAAGUUGAUGAGACUCUGAAGAGAUCCUGACCAAGAACGCUGUGGAGUAUGAGAGCAUCAAUUAGAUAUAGUGUUCCAAAUGGUCCAACUGAAUGGACAGUCAAAGAAAAGGUGAUCUCGACUCUCAUCCGCAGAGUGGCAGAGCAGACAAGUGGGGCUAGUUUGUAAACCCCACGAUCGGAGUCUAUCACGCGUUGGACAUCUAUUCAGCACAACAAGCCAGGUGAGGAAGCUAUGCUUUGGAAUUCCUCUAGAAUACCAGACAGUCUUGUGCCAUGGGACCUUAGGUGGAACCCUCCAUGAACCGUGUCUCCAUAGAUCAGCUAAGGUUGAUUGCAUCGGGAUUCCCAGUGGUCUUUCAGCACUAAGAUGGGUCGACAUCCUACCGAGACUACACCAAUGGUCACUCCAAAAACGACAGUUUCGUCCAUUUCCCACCUUCACCUUAAUCCAGGUGUAAAUCUCUUCUCUUAGCUCUAAAAGCUUGUUCGCUAGCCAAGAGAACUUUGCAUUUCUCUUCCGUGUCCAGAAGUUGCUAAGGUUGUUCGAGAGAACCGCUUUUUUGAACCAAGCGACCCACACUGAUCCUGACGGAAAGAAAAUCAUCCAGAUAAGUUUUAUCAUGCACGCUUUAUUCCAUAUGUUCAAGUUACGAAUGCCUAAUCCUCCUUCUGAUUUUGUAGUUGUGACAACAUCCUAAGCCACGCAAGCCGAGUGGUGACCCUCUGUUGUGCCCUUCCACAAGAAAGCUCCAGUUAAGGAGUUCAGGAUUGUUAUGCAUUUCUUUGGCAGAAGAAAAGCAGAGCACCAAAAGUUUGUAAGUCCAGCUAUCACCGUGUUGAUGAGUUGUAGCCUUCCGGCAAAUGAGAGCGUCUUUGUGGACCAAGCAUUGAAACUGCUUUUUACCUUCUGAAUCAGUGGCGCACAGUCCAAUAAGAUGGAAAUAGUCCUGAGGAGAAAAAGCUUGUCUUCGGUAAACUAAUAGCCAGGCCAGAAGCAUCCUCAAAAUCCUUAAGGAUGCGAAGAACUGAUUGCACAGAAGAUAAGGAUCCGUCAAUGAAAAUAAGGAGAUCAUCAGCAAAACAUAGGUGUAUUAGCUUUAGGUCAUGACAGUUGUGAUGAUACUGAAAUUUUCCUUCUUCUGCAGCUUGAUCUAACAUGGCAGAGAGGCAGUUUAAAGCAAGAACAAAUAAGUAAGGAGAGAGAGGGUCACCUUGUCGGAGCCCCCUCUUACUUUUGAAGUAGCCAUGAACAUGACCAUUGAAUCCCACUGAGAAAGAAGGAGUGCAAAUGCAAGCUCUAAGCCAUUGAAGAUAAAGUUCAGUCUGGUUUCUCUGGACAAGAUCAGGAAGAGCCGGUUUUAGUCUUGCUACCAGGAGCUUAGAGAUAACCUUGUAUAGUGUAUUUAGGCAGGAUAUCGGCCUAAAAUCCGAGAUGAGAGAUGCUCCUGAAAACUUUGGGAUCAAGGCAAGUGUAGUGGCUUUGACCGCAGCAGGGAGGAAACCAGUUUGGAAGAAUUUCAAGAUGCUCAUUGUGACCUCUGACCCUAGUACACCCCAUGCGGCUUUAUAAAACGCAGAGGUGGACAGCGGUAUGAAAUGAUGGCUUGAAUCCAAACCGGUCCAAUUGAGAGUGGUUGCAUGAAGACUCAGAGACUGGAAGUGGCUGACCGCGAUUCUGCUCAUUUCUAUUGGAUCAUCAACUGAGUUCUCUGCAGGCGUGGAGAAGGCUCUGAUGGCAUUGAAGGCAUUGCGAAUCUGAGUGAUGCGAUGGAAAUAAGCUGUGUUUAAAUCUCCUUCUUUUAACCUGAGUGAUACGUUCAUGUUCAAAGUGUUCUUUUCCCUGUUUUCAAUAAUUGUCAGUCUAUAUGACAAAAAAUGCUAGACUCUUGUGUUAGCUCCUACUAUUUCUGGUUUUUUAAUGUUUAUUACUAUUUUCAUUUUGUCUA